rnacentral:rRNA from 1 species
UACAGAGGUCUCAAGCGUUGUUCGGAUUCAUUGGGCGUAAAGGGCGCGUAGGCGGCGGGGUAAGUCGGGUGUGAAAUCUCAGGGCUCAACCCUGAAACUGCACUCGAUACUGCUCUGCUUGAGGACUGGAGAGGAGACUGGAAUUCACGGUGUAGCAGUGAAAUGCGUAGAUAUCGUGAGGAAGACCAGUGGCGAAGGCGGGUCUCUGGACAGUUCCUGACGCUGAGGCGCGAAGGCCGGGGGAGCAAACGGG